AGCUCACUUGUUAAUUUUUCGAUAAUUGCUUUAUUUAUCUACUUAAUCUAUUUCACGGAGAUGACGAAUAUUGGUUUAUCUUCCGUCUUGAGUGUCUGACUUUUAUAGUGUCCAUGGAUGAUAAUAAGGGCUGUCACUAGGUGGCCAAAUAUUUCAGUGUGUUUAGGGAUUGAACUAUUUAGCUCUAGUGUGUAGAGGGAUGAAAGGGGGCGCACUUAAGGUUGGGACGACAUUCCCGCAUCGCAUUCCGUCCGUUUUAUUCAACCGUGACGCUGGCAGAUAUUGCCUUAUGGAGUUUGAGCUUCUUCAUGUGUUGCGUGCACGUUAUCACCUACUCGUCACGAAGAUGUGUCUUAAAGUGUUCUACCAUAUUGAAAGACAAAUGAGAAGCAAAGAGGAAAUCAGGAAAGGAUUUCUUGGUCAGUUUGGUGUUUGAGCUGUUAAUGGUGUUGUCUGGUGUGGAUCUUGCAGUCAUUUUCCAUCUGAGAGAUUCCCUGAAAUGGAACUCGUGCAAACUUGCAGUUGGACAUCAUACUUCUACGUCUUAUGGUUGUGUUGAUGUAGUGUUGCACUAAUGUGCAAGAGUCGAUGCAGUCUGAUGAAUAUCGAAAAUUAUUAUUUCGGCUGCAUUUUGUCGAUCUGUCGUCUCUUGCUACCUGUACGCACGCUGAGUUCAAUCGUUCGCCACCACUCUUCAGACUAGAUCCAUCGGUGAAACGGAGGAGAGGCUGCUGAGAUUCAAGACUGAUAAAUCAUUUAGAUUAAGACAAAUUACAAAAGCAUAUCUAUUCUCCCUGUUCCCUAAGUAAAUAGUGUGUCAGCUGUUAGUUACUCGUGUGAAAACUAGGAGUGUUCUUAUCGAAAGGAAAGUUGCAGAGUCUUUUUCGCAUAAAAUGGCGGUGACCAUUGGGGAAUUUUUUUUGUAUCUCGUGCAGAAACACUUCAGAGCUAGUAAAGUAAUUUUGUUGAUAAGUUUCCCUGCAAUAAUGCAACAGGUUUUAUUAGUUGAUGUUUAGGUCAGAGACAGAGAUCCCUUUGCUUAACUGUUGCAGAAAUUGAGAACAUAACAAAGUCUGAGCUUCAUGUAUGCCUUAUAUGGCUGCCGUAUCAUUAAUAUGGUUUUGUUGCAGUCAGUUGGUGAAAGGUGUGAUCGGGCGUCAAGUUGAGCUGCAGCUGUUGCAUGCAGUUUAUCAAGUUGGUGUUAUCUGAAUUCUGAAGUGUCACUGCAGGAAGACUUCUUGAAUUGUUGAAUCGUUUGCUGCCGUUCCAUGGACUUGAUCCAUUGGUAACACUGACUGAGGAGAAUUUGCUGAAAUUCAAGACUCGUCAAUAAAUUAUGUAGAUGCUGUAGAUAAAUUACAAGUACAUAUCUGGGCUCCGUUCUUCAGUGGCCCAGUUUCCCUAAAUAACCACUAAGGCACUAACCAAC
rnacentral:lncRNA from 1 species